rnacentral:lncRNA from 10 species
AAGAAGUGCUCAGAGAGGUGGAAGACCAUGUCUGCUAAAGAGAAAAGUGAAGACAUGGCAAAGGUAGAGAAGGCCCAUUAUGAAAGAGAAAUGAAAAUCUAUAUCCCUCCUAAACGGGUGACAAAAAAGAAGUUUGAGGAUCCCAGUGCACCCAAGAGGACUCCUUUGGGCUUUUUUUCUGUUCUGUUCUGAGAAUUGCCCAAAAAUAAAAGGAGAUCAUCUUGGCCUGUCCAUUGGUGAUGUUGUGAAGAAACUAGGAGAGAUGUGGAAUGACACUGCUGCAGGUGACAAGCAGCCUUAUGAAAAGAAGGCUGCGAAGUUGAAGGAAAAAUAUGAAAGGAUAUUGCUGCAUAUUGAGCUAAAGGAAAGCCUGAUGCAGCAAAAAAAGGAAUCAUCAAGGCUGAAAAAAGCAAGAAAAAGAAGGAAG